rnacentral:rRNA from 1 species
AGAGUUUGAUCAUGGCUCAGAACGAACGCUGGCGGCAUGCCUAACACAUGCAAGUCGAACGAGACCUUCGGGUCUAGUGGCGCACGGGUGCGUAACGCGUGGGAAUCUGCCCUUGGGUUCGGGAUAACAGUUGGAAACGACUGCUAAUACCGGAUGAUGACUUCGGUCCAAAGAUUUAUCGCCCAGGGAUGAGCCCGCGUAGGAUUAGCUAGUUGGUGAGGUAAAGGCUCACCAAGGCGACGAUCCUUAGCUGGUCUGAGAGGAUGAUCAGCCACACUGGGACUGAGACACGGCCCAGACUCCUACGGGAGGCAGCAGUGGGGAAUAUUGGACAAUGGGCGAAAGCUGAUCCAGCAAUGCCGCGUGAGUGAUGAAGGCCUUAGGGUUGUAAAACUCUUUUACCCGGGAAGAUAAUGACUGUACCGGGAGAAUAAGCCCCGGCUAACUCCGUGCCAGCAGCCGCGGUAAUACGGAGGGGGCUAGCGUUUUUCGGAAUUACUGGGCGUAAAGCGCGCGUAGGCGGCUUUGUAAGUUAAGGUGAAAGCCCGGAGCUCAACUCCGGAACUGCCUUUAAGACUGCAUCGCUAGAAUCAUGGAGAGGUGAGUGGAAUUCCGAGUGUAGAGGUGAAAUUCGUAGAUAUUCGGAAGAACACCAGUGGCGAAGGCGACUCACUGGACAUGUAUUGACGCUGAGGUGCGAAACGUGGGGGAGCAAACAGGAUUAGAUACCCUGGUAGUCCACGCCGUAAACGAUGAUAACUAGCUGUCGGGGCUCAUGGAGCUUCGGUG